rnacentral:rRNA from 1 species
UCUGACGGAGCAACGCCGCGUGAGUGAUGAAGGCUUUCGGGUCGUAAAACUCUGUUGUUAGGGAAGAACAAGUGCUAGUUGAAUAAGCUGGCACCUUGACGGUACCUAACCAGAAAGCCACGGCUAACUACGUGCCAGCAGCCGCGGUAAUACGUAGGUGGCAAGCGUUAUCCGGAAUUAUUGGGCGUAAAGCGCGCGCAGGUGGUUUCUUAAGUCUGAUGUGAAAGCCCACGGCUCAACCGUGGAGGGUCAUUGGAAACUGGGAGACUUGAGUGCAGAAGAGGAAAGUGGAAUUCCAUGUGUAGCGGUGAAAUGCGUAGAGAUAUGGAGGAACACCAGUGGCGAAGGCGACUUUCUGGUCUGUAACUGACACUGAGGCGCGAAAGCGUGGGGAGCAAACAGGAUUAGAUACCCUGGUAGUCCACGCCGUAAACGAUGAGUGCUAAGUGUUAGAGGGUUUCCGCCCUUUAGUGCUGAAGUAACGCAUAAG